rnacentral:lncRNA from 1 species
UUUUUUUCUUCUGCUUUUUCUAUAUUGUGCUCAGAGCUUGUUGCUGUAUUUGUCUGCCUAUUUGUCUCUUACAAUGUACUAUGGCUCAUUUUUUAAAUUUUAUCACUUUAGCAAUUUUAUCUCAUAUACCUUGAAAAGGGGCAAAUUUUUCUGUUACACACUUGGUCUGUUGUGUAUAUAUUUAUUAUGAUGGGUUCUUUUGUGCAAGGUCUCAUAAAACUGCAGCAGGAAGAAGAAACACUUGGUUGUAUUGAAAGACUUUAUAAAUAUGCUGGUGCGCAAAAUAAGUAUCCUUGAUUCUUUCAGCUUUUGAAAUAGUUGUGGACACAGCUGUGCACAUGGCCUUGAGUCUGAGUGUGCAUCUCGACACUGACUAAUAUGAAAAUCCAAAUGUGUGUCUUAGGCCGGGGCCCUAAACUCAUGCACCCUUUCAUCUCUGUCUUCAAUGUGAUUCACUAGUAACACAGUUGACAACUGCGGGGAUACACUCCUCUGUGGGCUGCACUCGCUCCCUCGCUAGGGUAGCUCUACAUCAUGUUGCUCCUUUUAUCUGCCUCCACCUUCUUGUACAUGUGUUAAAAGUCAAAAAGUCUCUCACUCACGCACGCACGCACACACACACGCACACACACACACACACUCACACAGCCAUUAGCAGAGUAUAGGGUGUAGUCAUAUCUGUGUGCUGUCUGUUCGACUCUACCUAGUACAUUGCAGAGCCAGUCGGAGGCAAAGCACAAAAGUUGACUGUAGGUUUGUAGAUGUGUGAAACCAGGGCAGUGCCAGAGGUUCAGCUGGACGUCUGCACUGGCUCUUCUGUCAACAGCUAAUGGAGCUCAUUCAUUACUCAGGCUGGGCGGAGCGGCUUCCAGACUCCCCCCGUCCGGCGAUCGAUGCACACCUGGAACCCAUCUCCAGCCAAUCACCCACACCUGCCAUCCGUUUUAUAAGCCUGGUCCACAUCUAAUUAUUCACCAAUUUGUUGUUAACCCCCCUGUGAUCGCCCUUCUUGGAUUCCUGUUUGUGCCACCCAGCUUGCUCCUGUUGGAUCGUGUUUCUUCUGCUGCCUGCACCUCUUGGUUUCUGCCUUAA